CCUACGGGAGGCAGCAGUGGGGAAUAUUGGGCAAUGGGCGCAAGCCUGACCCAGCAACGCCGCGUGAAGGAAGAAGGCUUUCGGGUUGUAAACUUCUUUUCUGAGGGACGAAGAAAGUGACGGUACCUCAGGAAUAAGCCACGGCUAACUACGUGCCAGCAGCCGCGGUAAUACGUAGGUGGCAAGCGUUAUCCGGAUUUAUUGGGUUUAAAGGGUGCGUAGGCGGACUGGAAAGUCAGCGGUAAAAUCGAGAGGCUCAACCUCUUUCCGCCGUUGAAACUGUCGGUCUUGAGUGGGCGAGAAGUAUGCGGAAUGCGUGGUGUAGCGGUGAAAUGCAUAGAUAUCACGCAGAACUCCGAUUGCGAAGGCAGCAUACCGGCGCCCGACUGACGCUGAGGCACGAAAGCGUGGGUAUCGAACAGGAUUAGAUACCCGUGUAGUC
rnacentral:rRNA from 1 species